UCCCUUGCAUGUCUUGGGUAGUGCAAGAUGAAGGCAACCAUUAAUGAUGUGUUAAUUUUCUAGAACUAAAGAUUUGGUUUCCAUAGUUCUGGGAGGGUGGCAUUCCAAUGAGGCACCAUGCUCUUUCUAGGAGCAUGUAACUUGAGGCAGUUCCAUGUGAAUAACUACUAAUGUCUCUGUUCAGGUGGGUGGAACUUGAAGGUAACCACAGUGUCUGUUCCUGCUGUGACUCUGUGUGCAUAAAUGAAGAUGUGACUUUGCCCAUCGGUAUGUAUACGACCCCCAGAAAGCAAGGGGAAGGGUGUAAAAAUUGCAGAUCCAGUAACUUCUGCUUGAGUGACUCUUGUAGCAGUGGUAAGACCUUGGCUUGUACGCUAAAAUGUAUUUAUUUUUAAAUGUAUCCCCUCAGUUACUAAGAGCACCAUAAGCAGCGAUGCCCUGCUGGUCCUUGAAAAGCAGGGAGGUGACGACGGGGAGAGGAAGACUGGCGCGGCCAUUCUUGAACUGGAGGAGGACUUGCUGUCUUCCGAAGGCGUGUCCAAAGAGGAUCGGGAGGCACUGUCUCCAGAGGACGAUGCCUUUGACGAGAAUGACUAUAACAGGCUUUUGGAUGUUGAGGCAGAAGGCAAUGACAAUUCUGAUGAUCCUAACCAGCAUUUGGAAGGUACCUAUGAUGCCUCCAAGGUGCCAGAGCACAGUGACACUGAGAACUAUGAGGGGGCUGGGGAGCCUGGUCCCUUCGAAGAGGCGGAUGAGUGGAGGGCUCUGUCUGCAGAGGAAGCCGGUGGUAACUGAAGAUGCUGUUCUGUCUAGUUAUUGGAUUAUCAUGACUGCUAAAUAAAGGUGUUGACAUUUUUGUAUA